AAUACCGAACCAAACUCAAACAGUCAAACUUAAAAUAUUUUAAACUAACCCUUUAACGAUUAAAAAUUAAAAUUCAACCUUCAAAUUCAUAAUUCUUAAAAUCUAAAUUUCUAAAUCCUAAGUUCCUAACCUUAACCUAAACCUAAAAUCCCUAAAUCCCUAAAAUAUCUCAGAUUGUAGAAUCCAGCAGAACAGCAAGGCCACCGGCGAGGGCGCUAGUAGCAGUCAAGACCGACGACGACGACGACAACGUUUUGGCUGGAUCAGAUGGGAUUCUGGAGUAGAGGAGUAGUUGCUGAUAAAUGGUCUGGGAGGAUUUUGUGGCUCUGUGCAAUUGGGAGUGCAGUUGGAGGGGAAUAUGUUUAUGGGUCAGUAUUGUAUUGCUUCAGUUAGUCAGUCAUUCAAAUAAACUUGGAUUCAUACACUUUUGAAUCAAUUGUUUAGGCCUCUAUAUGGUUGUUGUGGA